ACUUGGUGUCCAGUUUGGCCAUCUCCUGCACGUAGAUACCGAUGCUCUCGCUGUCGAAGAGCAGGAAGUACACAUUCUUCAGCGAGGACGAGCUCGAGUCGUCAAAAUGAGAAGCAUUGACUUAAGAGAUGCCAAGUAACUCAGCAGAUGUCACACAGACGAUAAAUAGCAAAGAUGGAAGUCUUCAUGCCGGAGGCAAUCCUAUAAGACAGCUGAGUUCUCCAGAGCUGGUAGGAGACAGACUUGCUCAGGUGAUAGAUCCAGCCAUGAUACUGACCCUAAGAGAAUGAGACACUCUGCAGAAGACUUAGAAGAUUCCUGAGACUGGGAAAGGUGCCUAGAAAUCCUGAGAAGAGUGAAGAAGCCAUUGGCAGAGCAGCCUUCCACAGCACUAUGAAAGACAUCCAACAGAGAGCAAGUUUCCACCUCACUUCCAGCUUGACUCCUCUUUUAUCUCCUAACUGCAGUAUGUGAUGUCUUCAGCAACGGUAUUAAUUAGUUCUGGGUACCUGGAGGCACAGCAGCCGUGUUGAACCUAUGAGGUGAUGAAAAACCAUGCAACUAGAAACCAGAAUGGAAGAAAAGAAGAAGCUGGAUCCUUGACUGAAUCAUAGAUGGGGGAUAGUCCAUCAUCCCAGGGCUAAGACCACCUCCAGAUUUCUUGUUUGGUGAAACAAUUCCUGAUUGUUUACAUUUCUUUAUGUUGAGCUGUCUCUUACUUGUAGCUGAAAGCAUUUCUAAUAGAUAUUCAGAUUAUCAGCCUUAGCUCCAAGCUAGAAUACUCUAUGGGACCUUAGCUUCUCCAUGAAUUCUUUUGCUCAUCUGUGUAGUGCUCAAUAAAUGUAAAUUGAACCCUGAAUGAGGGACAAUGAC
rnacentral:lncRNA from 1 species